rnacentral:rRNA from 1 species
AACGAACGCUGGCGGCAUGCCUAACACAUGCAAGUCGAACGAGACCUUCGGGUCUAGUGGCGCACGGGUGCGUAACGCGUGGGAACCUGCCCUUAGGUUCGGAAUAACUCCCCGAAAGGGGUGCUAAUACCGGAUAAUGUCUUCGGACCAAAGAUUUAUCGCCUUUGGAUGGGCCCGCGUUGGAUUAGCUAGUUGGUAGGGUAAAAGCCUACCAAGGCGACGAUCCCUAGCUGGUCUGAGAGGAUGAUCAGCCACACUGGGACUGAGACACGGCCCAGACUCCUACGGGAGGCAGCAGUGGGGAAUAUUGGACAAUGGGCGAAAGCCUGAUCCAGCAAUGCCGCGUGAGUGAUGAAGGCCUUAGGGUUGUAAAGCUCUUUUACCCGGGAUGAUAAUGACAGUACCGGGAGAAUAAGCUCCGGCUAACUCCGU